GUCACAUUCCCUAAUCUCUGUAGCCCGCUGCCUUAAGUGCUGCUCCACUCAGCUCUCGGACCGCAGAACCCAUCACGACCCCGGACCCCCACGGAGGAGUUCCCGCAGGGACGGCGUGAGUGACAGGCUCCGCUGAAGGUCUGUCGGAGGGCCCUGAGACGGCGGACGGCGUGACAGCGGCCUGCUCCGUCUCUGGCAGUCGGCCCAAUUAAAACUCGCCUGUCAGAAGAAAGGGCGACAAUGAAAGGCGAGUCUUCUUCACAAAGCCCGCCUUCCGCGGAAUCACGGGCACGAGUCCCGGCUCCGGAGCGGAAUCAAAGAGGAGCGGCGCGAUGCCAAGGGCCAUACCUCUGUGCAGGGAGCGGGGGGAGCGGGGCACGUCGCCCUCCCAAGCGCAAGCAGAGCGUGGAACGUAAUUGGAGUGGUCUGGGUUGGGGACCCCCUGUGAUAUGCUUUCAUGAUGCCCAAAAUCUCUAGCACACCCCUGUACAGACACCAUCCUGGAAAGUACAGGCGCCAUAAAGCAAAUUAUAUUAAAAAGUUAGGGCAAAUAAAAUGGUUCAUGAUAAGGAACAAACACACACUGCGUUGUGAUCGUCAUGAAAACAUUGCGCAGCUUGUACAGUUUGUCAGUUCAAGGUAUUGUAUAUAAUUACAUUCGUUGUUACUAAUUAUUAUUAUUAUGUACUGUGUCAUUAUUGUUUCAAGUUACCUACAAAUUUGACAUAAACGCAGAUUUAGGGAAUGGAUAUCGUUCGUAAUCUGGUCUGUCUAUUAUUUUUAUGUAAGAAAAAUACGGAGUUCUGAUGUAAACUGAAUGUUUAGGCACAGCAUGGACUGGAAAAUAAAAACAUGCUUCUU